AUGAAACUUAAAGGAAUUGGCGGGGGAGCACCGCAACGGGAGGAACGUGCGGUUUAAUUGGAUUCAACACCGGAAAACUCACCAGCAGCGACUAUUACAUGAAAGUCAGGCCGAUGACCUUACUAGAUUUUUAGAGAGGUGGUGCAUGGCCGUCGUCAGUUCGUACCGUAAGGCGUUCUCUUAAGUGAGAUAACGAACGAGACCCUCACCAAUAAUUGCUACUGCGUCGUCCGCGGCGUAGGCACAUUAUUGGGACCGCUGGCGCUAAGUCAGAGGAAGGAGAGGUCAACGGUAGGUCAGUAUGCCCCGAAUCUGCUGGGCUACACGCGCGUUACAAAGGGCGGGACAAUGGGCUCCGACGCCGAAAGGCGAAGGCAAUCUCGAAACCCGUCCGUAGUUCGGAUUGAGGGUUGUAACUCACCCUCAUGAAGCUGGAUUCCGUAGUAAUCGCGAAUCAACAACUCGCGGUGAAUAUGCCCCUGCUCCUUGCACACACCGCCCGUCAAACCACCCGAGCUGGGUUUCAGUGAGGUUAUCUCUUUCUGGGGUAUUCGAACUGAGAUUUAGCAAGGAGGGUUAAGUCGUAACAAGGUAGCCGU
rnacentral:rRNA from 1 species